rnacentral:rRNA from 1 species
UCGAGAAUCUUCGGCAAUGAGCGCAAGCUUGACCGAGCGACGCCGCGUGUGGGAUGAAGGCCUUCGGGUUGUAAACCGCUGUCGUAGGGGAGGAAGGCUCCGUGAAGAACGGGGUUUGACCUAUCCUAGGAGGAAGGACGGGCUAAGUUCGUGCCAGCAGCCGCGGUAAUACGAACCGUCCAAACGUUAUUCGGAAUCACUGGGCUUAAAGGGUUUGUAGGCGGCGCUGUUAGUCGGGUGUGAAAGCCCUCGGCUCAACCGAGGAAUUGCGCCCGAUACUGCAGUGCUUGAGGGAGACAGAGGUAAGCGGAACUGAUGGUGGAGCGGUGAAAUGCGUUGAUAUCAUCAGGAACACCGGUGGCGAAAGCGGCUUACUGGGUCUCUUCUGACGCUGAGAAACGAAAGCUAGGGGAGCGAAGGGGAUUAGAUACCCCCGUAGUCCUAGCUGUAAACGUUGAGCACUUGAUCGUGGACCCCCCCAUACGGUUCUCGGUCGUAGCGAAAGUGUUAAGUGCU